rnacentral:rRNA from 1 species
CCGCGGUAAUAUUGGACAAUGGGCGAAAGCCUGAUCCAGCAAUGCCGCGUGGGUGAAGAAGGUCUUCGGAUUGUAAAGCCCUUUCGGUGGGAACGAUGAUGACGGUACCCGCAGAAGAAGCCCCGGCUAACUUCGUG